rnacentral:rRNA from 1 species
AUUGAACGCUGGCGGCAUGCCUUACACAUGCAAGUCGAACGGCAGCACGGGAGCAAUCCUGGUGGCGAGUGGCGAACGGGUGAGUAAAGUAUCGGAGCGUGCCCAGUCGUGGGGGAUAACGUAGCGAAAGUUACGCUAGUACCGCACACGAUCUAUGGAUGAAAGCGGGGGAUCGCAAGACCUCGCGCGAUUGGAGCGGCCGAUAUCAGAUUAGGUAGUUGGUGGGGUAAAGGCCCACCAAGCCGACGAUCUGUAGCUGGUCUGAGAGGACGACCAGCCACACUGGGACUGAGACACGGCCCAGACUCCUACGGGAGGCAGCAGUGGGGAAUUUUGGACAAUGGGCGAAAGCCUGAUCCAGCCAUGCCGCGUGCAGGAUGAAGGCCUUCGGGUUGUAAACUGCUUUUGUACGGAACGAAAAGGACUGCCCUAAUACGGUGGUCCCAUGACGGUACCGUAAGAAUAAGCACCGGCUAACUACGUGCCAGCAGCCGCAGUAA